AUGGUUUUUGGAGAUGAUUAUGAUUCAAGAUCAGAGACAUUGACCUUUGAAGUGGUAAAAAUCAGAAGUCCGUACCAUGCCCUGUUUGGACGGUCGGUCUAUGCUAAGUUCGUGGCAAGGUCGUGUUAUGUUUAUCUACAACUUAAGAUGUCGGGUCAUAAGGGGACCAUCACGGUUCAUGGCAGCCGCAAGAUUGCUUUGGAGUUUUUCAAUGAUUAUGCUGCAUGGGGAGGGGCAAGAGUGUCAUGGACAGCACCUAUUUAUAUUCUUGAGGCAAAUUUUGCUGAGCACAUGCCGCAAGAUGAGGACUGGAUACCAGUCAAUGGAAACCCUCAUCCCCUACCUGGUGUGCCUUUUCUUGAACUUCCACAGUUUGUUUUGCCACCAUAUCCUACUUUAGGAUGGAAUGAGCCACCUCCUCUAGAGCAACCUGCCAUGGGGGACAAUAAUUGGGAUAAUGCAGUUUGGGGAGAAGAGGAAGAAGUGCAGAAUGAGGCUGAAGUGGAGCAAGAAUCUAUGCCAGUUGUUACUGCUGCUGGUCAUGAGCAACCAGUUGCUGUGGACAAUAAUAUUGUUCCAGAUUAUAAUCCUGAUGAUUGGGCCUUAGUGGUCUAUAAGCCAAAUCCACCUGCUACUGAGAAUGGCCCUUACAUGGAUGCAAAUUUUGUGGUGGAGGAAGUCAUAGAUGCUCAACAACUGUUUGUUCCAGAUGGCAAUACUGCUAAAGUGGUUUUUGGGCCAGAGUUGCCCCUAGAUAUGAUCUUCAGAAGGAAUUUUGAAACCAUACUGCAUACUGACAUUUGCUAUGAAAUCCCUAAGCCUCUACAGGUGUUGCCACUGCAGUCUGCUUUGCUGUCCAAGAGAAGCCGGGACUUGGCAUUUGAGGUGCCAAGAUUGACCUACUAUAGCAAUGAAGUGGAGCACAGGCCUGUGGCAGGGACUCUCUUUCCUGCACAAGAGAAUGACUCAUCCUCUGUUUGUGUUGCAGAAUAG
rnacentral:rRNA from 1 species